UACGGAAGGGGCGAGCGUUGUUCGGAAUCAUUGGGCGUAAAGGGCUCGUAGGUGGCCAACUAAGUCAUACGUGAAAUCCCUCGGCUUAACCGGGGAACUGCGUCUGAUACUGGAUGGCUUGAGGUUGGGAGAGGGAUGCGGAAUUCCAGGUGUAGCGGUGAAAUGCGUAGAUAUCUGGAGGAACACCGGUGGCGAAGGCGGCAUCCUGGACCAACACUGACGCUGAGGAGCGAAAGCCAGGGGAGCAAACGGG
rnacentral:rRNA from 1 species